GCAGCCGUGGCCUACUGGUUAGCGCUUCGGACUUGUAACCGGAGGGUUGCCGGUUCGAUCCCCGACCAGUAGGA
rnacentral:tRNA from 1 species